GCUUGUGUAAUAGUGCACAAGUCAUCAAAAAUAUUGCAGUUAAUGUGGCUUUAAGCGUGUAUUCGCAUGUACCGAAUACACUCUCCAACCACGCGUGUAUGACUGCGCGGCGCGGCCGGCGGCGGCGCCUUGUUCCUUGUUCGCAUGGCGUUGGUUGAAGGUGGAGGUGUGCUGUGCAGGGGGGCGACGAGCUUCUAAUUCAAGUUGAAAUAGAAGAUCAGCUAUUUCUCCCUAGAAGAUGGCAGCAGUGCUAAAGAUGCCAUGCACAGAGAGCUCCAGCACAUUGUAUCUAAAAUGGUCGUACAGAAGUACAGCUGGGUUUCUGAGAACAAAUUAGCAUUUAAAAGCCUGGCAAAUGUGCUGCUGUUUCUCCUUGGUAAGUGUCAAUAAAAAACAAAUUCUAGUUUUCUCUCCUGCUCUGCAGGACAACAUCCUCAUUAUGAGGUUCAGUAUUAUGUAGACUUCUCCAUGUUGUGAUAUUUCGGUCGUAGUUGUUUAGAAGAUGCUUCACCACGACCAGUAUAUUUGCACAUACUGCAUUACUGAUGUUUGUUUGGAAACUUGUCCAACUGAUAAAAAUUUUUCAGAGUUUAUAUAUGCUGCCUUCAUGAAUACUGCCAACUUGUGCCAUCAGGAGCAAGAAUCAGCAUUGAAACAAACAGUUUCACUACUACCAAGAUGCUUCUCCAGUGCAGUGUUCGAUCAUCUUAUUUUCUGUUUUAUUGGAGUUCCUAUUUUUAGGAGCCGAGAACCAGAGCACAUAACCAAUUUCUUUGUUUAACAGUCAGCAGCACUGCUAAGCAGCAGGACUCAACAGAAGCUCCCCGGCAACUACAACAUCUUGGUACAUCGACUAUCCCAGCAACGUUCAUAAAUCUCAAAGGACAUACGUACAGGAAGAAAACAAGGACAUAAUAGAGUGCUCGUGCGCCAAUGCUCCUUCCAUAGUGCUAUCAGCAAAAAAAGUAUGAUCUUUUAUAAUUUGAAAGAAUAUAUGUUGUUCUGGAAGAGGGUGCCAGAAUAGAAGAUUAAGUGGGACAUUUUUUGUUGUAUUUCUUCAUCUUUUGUUUCAUAUUGAUGGGGUUCUCACAAAACUACGCAAGCUACUCCAUUAAUAAACUUGUAGUUGAAAGUGAAAAAAAAUAUGUAUCAUGCUGUCCAAUCACCUCUUCCUGUCCGUGCAUGUGUUCUGAUCUUCAUAAUCAUGCAUAACCGAUUAGCCUUCCAACAAAUGUUCCCGCUAUGUGUUGAAAAUUGUUGAAAGCCUGAGAAAUGACUUUUUAAAGAGAAGCUCAUGAUUUUUUGUCUCCUUGUAUUUCACAGGUGCCAGACGUACCCUGUUCAACACAACCGACGCAGCUGUUUCGGACAUAACAAAAAGGUGGCUCAUGUUCGCUGUGGAUCAAGAAGGUGCACUUAUGCAAAGACGGCGUGCCACCUUGAUGAAAGACUCCAACAGAAGCCCAAGCAACACUUUAUAAUCGCAAGAGUUCAGGAAGGAAUAUAAAAAUGGCGUAUUGCCUUGUAUAUAUUCAGUGUAAAAUAAACCUGAAGCACCAGAAA
rnacentral:lncRNA from 1 species